rnacentral:rRNA from 1 species
AUUGAACGCUGGCGGCAGGCUUAACACAUGCAAGUCGAGCGGAGAGAGGUAGCUUGCUACUGAUCUUAGCGGCGGACGGGUGAGUAAUGCUUAGGAAUCUGCCUAUUAGUGGGGGACAACAUUUCGAAAGGAAUGCUAAUACCGCAUACGUCCUACGGGAGAAAGCAGGGGAUCUUCGGACCUUGCGCUAAUAGAUGAGCCUAAGUCGGAUUAGCUAGUUGGUGGGGUAAAGGCCUACCAAGGCGACGAUCUGUAGCGGGUCUGAGAGGAUGAACCGCCACACUGGGACUGUGACACGGCCCAGACUCCUACGGGAGGCAGCAGUGGGGAAUAUUGGACAAUGGGCGGAAGCCUGAUCCAGCCAUGCCGCGAGUGGGAAGAAGGCCUUAUGGUUGUAAAGCACUUUAAGCGAGGAGGAGGCUACUUUAGUUAAUACCUAGAGAUAGUGGACGUUACUCGCAGAAUAAGCACCGGCUAACUCUGUGCCAGCCGCCGCCGUAA